rnacentral:lncRNA from 1 species
AGAAUGCCGAAGAAGGAAUUCCUAAGAAUGCUGGGCUAAUCUGGCACUGUGAAGUGUGAACUUUGUAAGGAAUCCUUAAGAUUCCUUUCAAUCCUGGCGACAGUGGCAGGGCCCAUCAACGCCCAUACUUGAGUGACCUGGAAGGACGAAAGAAAUGGGACUGUUGAACUCUAGUUUGGACAAAAACCAAUGAGGUUUGUCCAAUGUGGCCACCAUACAGAGACAUGUGACCUCAUUUCCUAUAUGAACCAAGGGUAGGUUAAUCUUGUAACUAAGCAAUCAAAUGUCAGCCAAUCACAGCAAAGAAAUUCCAGCCAAUCACAGGAAUGGAUUCAAUUACAGGCUGCCAGUUGAUUACAUGGUGCAUGCUGCACAUGAUGCCUGCAGCCAAUCAGAAUGUAUCGGAAAGAUUCGCUGCUCUUCCGCUGUUUAACUGCCAGGUGUGCAGUGAAUCUGGAGUAGAACAGAUCUGGACCUUGUUAAUGUAUCUGCUGGAAGCUUUCCUGUAAGGAUCCCUACCCAGGAACCAACAGAGAAACUGUGUCCCUCAAUGGCUUUUGGGGGCAAUUCAGAGGUGCUGGGGGCGGCUCGGACUUGACUGUGGAGCUGACAUGCCUGGCAAUAUUGAAACCAUGCAUCUGGGGCCACUGGUCUGCUCGAGAUGACUUUGCCAACUGUAGCCCAGCCUGAGAAUCCUGCAGAGUCUGGCAUGGGAGGAGACAAAGAAGUCUCAGAGCAGGGCUCUGGAGACUUAAAAGGGAAGGCAAUUGCUAGGACAGUCUUGAGGAAUGUUUGGAAUGGGGAGGGGAAGUGGGAGGAGCCCCUGGGAACUCAGGCCCUAUACUGCCCCCUGUGGGCUACAGAAAAGAUGCAGGCCUCCAACUUCUCUUCCUCUUCAUCCCAAGGGACCUGUCUGGAGGAAGAAGGAACUACACCAGCCCAGGAAAUGGAGCAGGGUUUCAUAUCAGAAGCCUCCACAGGUGUUGCAGUAGGAAUCUCUGGAAGGCUUUAGAGCAGCCAACCAGGCUGCUCCUCUGUUUUGAUGCAUCUUCAUGCCCAAGUGGAUGGACCCUGGGACUUGAAGCUUGUCUCGAGCUGAGUGCUGCCUAGCUAGGACCCUUCCUGACCUGCUCAGUGCCCAGG